rnacentral:misc_RNA from 1 species
CCCGGGAUGGCGCCCUGGAGCGCGUUGCCCGAGAGGUCAACCGCGGCGAGCGCGGACAGGUUUGCCAGCGCCGCCCACGACACCGCGCCGGUGAGGUUCCGCGACGGGAGGCGGAGCGCUCUGACCGGCUGGCAUGCUUUCGUCCUCGGGGCCCGGAAGUUGCGCACGUGCCGGAACGCGGCGGCGACGAUGGCCGCGUCGUCGCGGCCGGCGCAAGAGGAGGAACCGGAGGAGAUGGCGCAGGAGGGAAGCGAGCUGACCAAGAGGAGCAGGAGGAGGGGGUGGACCUGGAGUGGCAUCGGAGAAGCAGGACGUGUGGAGAGCUGCACGUCACGGAGGAGAUUCGAGCUGGGGUUGCAUUGAAUGAAGGAACUGAAUGGACACAGGGGAAGCUGGGGCACUACGGACGGAAUAGAACAAGGGCGGAGGGGAAAUGGAAUGGUGCAGCUACACUAGGAAGGAAG